UAUAAAGCUAUAACCAAGACUCAAUCUCAACGCGUCAGACAGGCAGCUCCGGCUGUCAGUCCGACCCUCCGUCACCCGCAGAAAGAGAGAGAGCGUCAGUCAGGGUUAUGAGCGUAACGUGAGCGGUUCAUAGGAGAUCCUACCCGGUCAUUGCCAUCUUUUUCAUUUAGGGCCAUUGAACAGGAAGUGCCCAUAUGGGACUGGGGAGGACGUAAGGACGCUGUUUACGUCAAUCAGUGUGUAGCCCCGCCCUAAAGCGCCGCCUGCUUUAUGGUCUGUUUGACUCUAGGAAGGUAGGAAGGGAAGUAAGGGAGGGAGGGAAGAAGGUAGGAAGGGAGGGAGGAAGGGAAGUGUGAAGGGAGGGAGGAAGGUAGGAAG
ensembl:lncRNA